rnacentral:rRNA from 1 species
AACGAACGCUGGCGGCAUGCCUAACACAUGCAAGUCGAACGAGACCUUCGGGUCUAGUGGCGCACGGGUGCGUAACGCGUGGGAAGCUGCCCUUAGGUUCGGAAUAACUCCCCGAAAGGGGUGCUAAUACCGGAUAAUGUCUUCGGACCAAAGAUUUAUCGCCUUUGGAUGGGCCCGCGUUGGAUUAGCUAGUUGGUAGGGUAAAAGCCUACCAAGGCGACGAUCCAUAGCUGGUCUGAGAGGAUGAUCAGCCACACUGGGACUGAGACACGGCCCAGACUCCUACGGGAGGCAGCAGUGGGGAAUAUUGGACAAUGGGCGAAAGCCUGAUCCAGCAAUGCCGCGUGAGUGAUGAAGGCCUUAGGGUUGUAAAGCUCUUUUACCCGGGAUGAUAAUGACAGUACCGGGAGAAUAAGCGCCGGCUAACUCCGUG